rnacentral:rRNA from 1 species
GAUGAACGCUGACAGAAUGCUUAACACAUGCAAGUCGAUUCGAUUUACCUUCGGGUAUUGAGGAUGGCGGACGGGUGAGUAACGCGUAAGGAACUUGCCUCUUGGUCUGGGACAACUGUUGGAAACGACAGCUAAUACCGGAUAUUAUGAGAUUCUCGCAUGGGAAACUUAUGAAAGCUAUAUGCGCCAAGAGAGAGCCUUGCGUUCCAUUAGCUAGUUGGUGGGGUAACGGCCCACCAAGGCGACGAUGGAUAGCCGGCCUGAGAGGGUGAACGGCCACAAGGGGACUGAGACACGGCCCUUACUCCUACGGGAGGCAGCAGUGGGGAAUAUUGGACAAUGGGCCACAAGCCUGAUCCAGCAAUUCUGUGUGCACGAUGAAGGUCUUCGGAUUGUAAAGUGCUUUCAGUUGGGAAGAAGAAAGUGACGGUACCAACAGAAGAAGCGACGGCUAAAUACGUGCCAGCAGCCGCGGUAAUACGUAUGUCGCAAGCGUUAUCCGGAUUUAUUGGGCGUAAAGCGCGUCUAGGCGGAAAAAUAAGUCUGAUGUUAAAAUGCGGGGCUCAACUCCGUAUUGCGUUGGAAACUGUUUUUCUAGAGUACUGGAGAGGUGGGCGGAACUACAAGUGUAGAGGUGAAANUCGUAGAUAUUUGUAGGAAUGCCGAUGGAGAAGUCAGCUCACUGGACAGAUACUGACGCUGAAGCGCGAAAGCNUGGGGAGCAAACAGGAUUAGAUACCCUGGUAGUCCACGCC